GGCUCUGUGGUGUAAUGGAUAGCAUGAUUGUCUUCGGAACAAUUGGUUAAGGUUCGAGUCCUUACAGAGCCACGA
rnacentral:tRNA from 1 species